CGUCAUGGUGGAGCGGGAGCGAAAGCGGCAGGAGGAGGAGGAGGUGGACAAGAUGAUGGAGCAGAAGGUGCGGGAGGAGCAGGAGCGGCGCCGCAGGAAGGAGCUGGAGGAGAGGAUGUCCCUGGAGGAGACCCGGGAGCAGCUGCUGAAGCUGCAGGAGAAGUUGGGGGCUCUGCAGGAGGAGAAGCACCAACUGUUCCUGCAGCUCAAGAAGGUUCUGCACGAGGAGGAGAA